UGAUUUAAACACAGAGUUUGCGGU
rnacentral:siRNA from 1 species